UACGAAGGGGGCUAGCGUUGCUCGGAAUCACUGGGCGUAAAGGGUGCUUAGGCGGGUCUUUAAGUCAGGGGUGAAAUCCUGGAGCUCAACUCCAGAACUGCCUUUGAUACUGAGGAUCUUGAGUUCGGGAGAGGUGAGUGGAACUGCGAGUGUAGAGGUGAAAUUCGUAGAUAUUCGCAAGAACACCAGUGGCGAAGGCGGCUCACUGGCCCGAUACUGACGCUGAGGCGCGAAAGCGUGGGGAGCAAACAGG
rnacentral:rRNA from 1 species